CCACUCACCUGACCGGGAUGCGGCGGCGGCGGCGGGCGACGGAACCGGGAGCUGCGGCCCUCCCCACCCCCUGGCUUCAAGUUUGCCAGGAGGACGCCUGGAAUGUGCGGAAUGAAGGCUGGGAACCAGGAAGCAGGAACUCUCAGCUCGACUCCCAGAUCCGCCACUGGUGCCCCCACGCUGGUCCUCUGGUGUCCCUCAGGAUCCGCAAAGCUGUUACUAGGAAGAAUAAAGCACAUGGGAGAAAGCAGUCAGUGUGAGAUCCGUGCGGUAUGGCAAGAGACUCGUUCUGGACUCAGUAGUAAAGAAAUGAUUUCAAGUCAAUGACGUCACUAGCAUCUCUGGAACUGCAAUUAUCCUGAGAAUUUGGGCGACAGCUCUCCUAAAGAAGAGUGUGAGCAUAUUCCAGUUCAGGAUCUGAACGAAUCAAUACUUU